ACGGGGCGCAGGUCCGGUCGCCGCACGACCAGGACAGUCGGCGUCGCCACGGGCCGCUCCUUGAGUUCGAAGCUCGCGGCCAAGAGGGGCUCUAGAGCGGUCAGACCCACCGAAAGGGGCUCGGCUGGAAAGUGGCCCGGUGCCAGAACGUGGAACGAUGCGGUGGGACCCGGGUGCUGGAACAGGGCCCCCGGAGCUCGCGGCAGCCGUCCCUGCCCACCAGGAAGAGAAGAGGAAACGGCAAUCGUUAUUUCAGUCUUAUAACUCGGCCUCCCCACCCCCACUCCCCCUUGGUUUGUGAUCAGUAAUUUUCCAGCCGGGAAAUGUUUUCGCCGUCAUCUUCUCUGCAAACAGUGCCUUUUAUU